UACGGAGGGAGCUAGCGUUGUUCGGAAAUACUGGGCGUAAAGCGCGUGUAGGCUGCUCGGAAAGUCGGGUGUGAAAGCCCUGGGCUCAACCAAGGACGUGCAUUCGAAACUGCGGAGCUUGAGUAUGGAAGAGGGUCGCGGAAUUCCCGGUGUAGAGGUGAAAUUCGUAGAUAUCGGGAGGAACACCAGUGGCGAAGGCGGCGACCUGGGCCAAUACUGACGCUGAGGUGCGAAAGCGUGGGGAGCAAACAGG
rnacentral:rRNA from 1 species